rnacentral:rRNA from 1 species
GAGCGAACAGACGAGGAGCUUGCUCCUCGUGACGUUAGCGGCGGACGGGUGAGUAACACGUGGAUAACCUACCUAUAAGACUGGGAUAACUUCGGGAAACCGGAGCUAAUACCGGAUAACAUGUUGAACCGCAUGGUUCAACAGUGAAAGACGGUCUUGCUGUCACUUAUAGAUGGAUCCGCGCCGCAUUAGCUAGUUGGUAAGGUAACGGCUUACCAAGGCAACGAUGCGUAGCCGACCUGAGAGGGUGAUCGGCCACACUGGAACUGAGACACGGUCCAGACUCCUACGGGAGGCAGCAGUAGGGAAUCUUCCGCAAUGGGCGAAAGCCUGACGGAGCAACGCCGCGUGAGUGAAGAAGGUCUUCGGAUCGUAAAACUCUGUUAUUAGGGAAGAACAAAUGUGUAAGUAACUAUGCACGUCUUGACGGUACCUAAUCAGAAAGCCACGGCUAACUACGUGCCAGCAGCCGCGGUAAUACGUAGGUGGCAAGCGUUAUCCGGAAUUAUUGGGCGUAAAGCGCGCGUAGGCGGUUUUUUAAGUCUGAUGUGAAAGCCCACGGCUCAACCGUGGAGGGUCAUUGGAAACUGGAAAACUUGAGUGCAGAAAAGGAAAGUGGAAUUCCAUGUGUAGCGGUGAAAUGCGCAA